rnacentral:rRNA from 1 species
UACGUAGGGUGCAAGCGUUGUCCGGAAUUAUUGGGCGUAAAGAGCUCGUAGGCGGUUUGUUGCGUCGGCUGUGAAAUCCCGAGGCUCAACCCCGGGUCUGCAGUCGAUACGAGCAAACUAGAGUGUUGCAGGGGAGACUGGAAUUCCUGGUGUAGCGGUGAAAUGCGUAGAUAUCGGGAGGAACACCAGUGGCGAAGGCGGCUCUCUGGGACGGUACUGACGCUGAGACGCGAAAGCGUGGGGAGCGAACAGG